UACGGAGGGUGCAAGCGUUAAUCGGAAUUACUGGGCGUAAAGGGUGCGUAGGCGGCCUUGUAAGUCAGGGGUGAAAGACGGUAGCUCAACUAUCGCAGUGCCUUUGAUACUGCAGGGCUUGAAUGUACUUGAGGUAGGCGGAAUGUGACAAGUAGCGGUGAAAUGCAUAGACAUGUCACAGAACACCAAUUGCGAAGGCAGCUUACUAAAGUAUGAUUGACGCUGAGGCACGAAAGCGUGGGGAUCAAACAGG
rnacentral:rRNA from 1 species